GAGGGUGCAGGGGCUGGCGAGGCUCCCUGCCUCCUGCCGCUCCCCAACCUCUCCCUUAUCGGGGCCACCGGGCUCUCAACUCCCCCAUCAUCACCUUAAUAGAAACCCAUAAAUAUCUCUACCUGCUAAUUUAAAAAGGGACGGGCUGUUUAUGAGCACCCCAAGAAUGACAUUUAUGGGCCUGACGUCCAGUGGAAGAAAGGCCUGUUAAGCACGCGCAUCUGUAGAAUGGUCCCCUGGCGGCCUUCGGCAACUUCUUCUGCAACGCCUCCUGCCAGUGACCACUUCCGGCCCAUCUGGAGUCCGUUUGCUCUGCAUGCUGCGGCUGGGCACAGGCAGGUUCCACCCUGCUCCAGGGCUGUGGCCGCAGCAGGAAGGAGGUACACGGAGGCUCCAGGGAGGAGUUCACUGCGCUAACAAGCCCAUCUGCCAGUGUCCAGUGGACUAGGCGCCAGCCUGUGGGAGCUUGGCCGCUCUACCUGCCCCAAGCCUGCUUCACAGCAAGGGUGGGACCACGCGCAUGUACACGCCAUGAGGUGACUGGCCUUGCCCACCAAGCCCUCCUGCCAUGAUGGGUCAGCGUCAGCCCAAAGCCACAGGACCCAUCAAUCACCGACUGGAACUUCCAAAACUGAGCUAAA